rnacentral:lncRNA from 1 species
CCCAAAAUCGAUGCAAAGGUCAACCAAAAAUCUCAAACUUUGAGCUAGAAAUGAUGCCCACAACACAUUUCGGAGGAUUUCAAUACCAGCUUCUCCAAUUGCCAUCGCCUAACAAAGCUGCAAACUGACAAAAAUAAGGAAUCUGCAAAUUGACAAAAAAUAAGGAAGUUGCAAAUUGACCAAAAAAAAAAUAAAGAAGCUAAGAGCAAGGAGGCUCACCGCUGCUGAAGAUUUUGGUUGUAUAAUUUUGGUGAGAAAAGUGGUGGAGAGGAGAAGCGGCGGAGAAGCAUUUGUUGUUCUGUAUAUCUAACCCUAAACUAAAUAGAUAAGGUGGAAGUAGAGGAUAUAUCUGGAUAAGCGAAAGAGCAACAUUGCCCAAAAAAAAGAGAGAGAGAAGACACAACCAUGCUGAAUCACGCCACUUACCAUUCUUGAGAAAGCUCUGCUGUCAGCUCCAAACAAAUGCAGCUGUGAGAGUCGGAAAUGGAAAGGAACUGGUACGGCAAUUAAUUCCAAAGCAGAAAACCCAUGGGCGACCCAAUUACCCGAUCCAUUU